CGCUGGCGGCGUGCUUAACACAUGCAAGUCGAACGGUGAAGCCAAGCUUGCUUGGUGGAUCAGUGGCGAACGGGUGAGUAACACGUGAGCAACCUGCCCUGAACUCUGGGAUAAGCGCUGGAAACGGCGUCUAAUACUGGAUAUGAGCUGCGGAGGCAUCUUCGUGGUUGGAAAGAUUUUUCGGUUUGGGAUGGGCUCGCGGCCUAUCAGCUUGUUGGUGAGGUAAUGGCUCACCAAGGCGUCGACGGGUAGCCGGCCUGAGAGGGUGACCGGCCACACUGGGACUGAGACACGGCCCAGACUCCUACGGGAGGCAGCAGUGGGGAAUAUUGCACAAUGGGCGGAAGCCUGAUGCAGCAACGCCGCGUGAGGGAUGACGGCCUUCGGGUUGUAAACCUCUUUUAGCAGGGAAGAAGCGAAAGUGACGGUACCUGCAGAAAAAGCGCCGGCUAACUACGUGCCAGCAGCCGCGGUAAUACGUAGGGCGCAAGCGUUAUCCGGAAUUAUUGGGCGUAAAGAGCUCGUAGGCGGUUUGUCGCGUCUGCUGUGAAAUCUGGGGGCUCAACCCCCAGCCUGCAGUGGGUACGGGCAGACUAGAGUGCGGUAGGGGAGAUUGGAAUUCCUGGUGUAGCGGUGGAAUGCGCAGAUAUCAGGAGGAACACCGAUGGCGAAGGCAGAUCUCUGGGCCGUAACUGACGCUGAGGAGCGAAAGGGUGGGGAGCAAACAGGCUUAGAUACCCUGGUAGUCCACCCCGUAAACGUUGGGAACUAGUUGUGGGGUCCAUUCCACGGAUUCCGUGACGCAGCUAACGCAUUAAGUUCCCCGCCUGGGGAGUACGGCCGCAAGGCUAAAACUCAAAGGAAUUGACGGGGACCCGCACAAGCGGCGGAGCAUGCGGAUUAAUU
rnacentral:rRNA from 1 species